rnacentral:lncRNA from 1 species
UUAAUUAUUUGAGCUCCUUGCAAUACUUCUGCAUACAUUGGAUUGGAGUAUGCAGAGCAGGGAGGGGAUGAGAUGCAGCUCUGCAUUCCAUGUACAAAGUGUACAUUCUUUGAGUCAGCCCAAAAUUUUGUCGAUUAGGGGUAGUUCCCUUUUCCCUCUUUAUUUUGUUUCAUUUUCUUCUCGUGAUAAUUCUAGACAGGCAAUUAUAUUCUUGGACGCCAUUAACAUAGAAUAGUUUAUAGCGGAGCACAGUUGUGGGAUGGAGCUGAUGAUGCCCCCCCGUCAGGAUAGCUGAGAUAUUGUAAAUUGGAUUAUGUACAUACAUUCAACUUUUCUAAAUUAAUGCAAUCGAGAUGAAUAUCGGUUUCAUUAUGAAACUAUGACCCGUGCUUUCUUCUAUUUUUCUGUUAACGAUGGAGCUGAUGAUGCUCCCCCGUUAGGAUAGCUGAGAUAUUGUAAAUUGGAUUAUGUACAUACAUUCAACUUUUCUAAAUUAAUGCAAUCGAG